GCGCUUGCAUGUUUUAGGCACAGGGUUUAUAAUCAGCAUCUGUAGCUGAGAUGCAGUUAGUUACACGAGUUCUCAGACCGAAGUAGGAUGCAAAACUAAUGCCAGUACACACAGUGGACGUGCCUUGGAGUUUUUUCCCAGCGACCGCGCGUGGUGAUAUCAGGCUUUUGCCGACAGGCGCAGGUCGGGACACGCCAUCUCGCCGCGCGCUGUGAUUGGUCGGCUGUGCGCGAGCGUGCGCGCUGAUGACAUCAUACUCCAAAACAAAGUGGCGACCGACUUGUUCACUGCCAUUGCAGGCGCCAAAACUUUACAUACCAUCAUUUGACGAUAUCACUCGAGGUACUGGCUGACCAAAUGCGUCCACUCCAUCCAUGGAGAAGCAGGCAGGCGACGAUCAACAACAUAUAGCUAGCGGCGGUGCCAGCUUGGUGGCUGGCCUGAGUUCCGACAUCAUGGGUGGCAUUGCUUGUGCUACUGGUCGGGGGGCUUCUGGCCGUUCUGGGAGUGUGGUGAGUGACUCUGGGGCUACAAGCACCCCUCCGCGCCAGUCGUCCAAACGGGACAGUGGCUACCACACGGACUGUUCACCGGCCACCUUCUCACCCCUCACUCCUCAGUUUACCUUCGACACUUCCGGCGAAAGUCCGGGAGAGAGGCCCGCCUGUUCUCCGGGACAAGCUUUUCCGGGCCCCUCCCUCAGCCCGGGUGGCCCCCACAAGUCCCGGUUGCCCUGUGACUCAGGGGAUGAGGAUGAGAACAGGACCGAACUUGUCACCACGGGUAACAAACCGACCGGGGUGCCUGACAUCAAGCUCUUCCAGGCGAAAGUAGACCUGGGUACCGUGGCCACCCGGCGCAAAACCACGGCUUCCCCGUUGUUAUCAGAAGAUGACGCCGACGACAAAUGUGAUAUCAGAUGUGUAGGAGCUGCAGCUCGUCUAGGCAGCGUGCAGGAAGAAAAGGAGGAGAGAGAGGAAGUCAGCGUGUAUAAGGUCGGCGAGACAGAGAGCGUUUAUAACAGCGGCGAGACAAAGAGCCAGGAGACAGGGAGUUUCAUGGGUGCACCUGGUGCUGCAGCACAACGCCGAUGCCGCUUAUUCUCCCGCUCUGACUUCAGUCAUGGAGGUGGCCCCUCGCCAGCUCGUUCUGACAUAAAACUCGAUGACGACAACGACGAUGAUGUGUUCGGCGACGACGAGAAGGGAACAGGGGUGGCAUGCAUCGCCUAUCACCACGCUGCGCUUUCCGCCAUCAGACUGCCGGGUGGAGACCGCUUCCGCCCCCUCCUGGCCCGCAGCAUCGCCACCCAAACCCGCACGUUCACUGCCAGCUGAUAGACCAGAUCCUGGCCUGCCCGCAGCCACUACCCGCUUGUGCUCGUGGGAGCGCCGUGCGGAGACUGCGCUACUACUCGGAGGGCGAGGAGACCGCCAGUGUGUCGGUGCUGACGCAGGGUCCCUUGCCGGACCUGGUGCCCAUCACGUACUCGCAGUUUGCCCUCCGCGAGAGGUCGCUGUCGGCGCCGGACCUAGAAAGCCAGCAACGCCAGCGUCUGACGGAGCGCGAGGUGGGGCGCGAGUUGCGCCGCAUCAGUGACGAGUUCCUGAGGACGCACGCCUUCCGCCACGUGCGCCCCGGCGCCCUGGUGAGUGGGCCUCGAUCCACGCGGAGCUGAACACCGUAGCGGCCUUGUUCCUGGGUGGAGCACGCCGCCUCCUAUACCGGAACUUCGCCGGCUACUUCCGGUGCGUCUUCACGUGGACACGACGAGCCGUUCUAGACGCCGAGCGACACGAGGCCGACAGUCCAGUGGACUCCCCCAGGUGAUAACUUGUACGCACUGUAGCCACACCUGUCAUGUCUCGUCGCGUGUUGCCCAAGACGGGCGUCGCACCUCGCCGACUAAAAAGGGGGGCGCGCGUGCUUUGCAUGCAAGGUGGUGCUCGUUGGGGCAUCCUUGACUUCUGUUGCUGGCCGCGAGACUACAGCACCACUGUACCCUUCACUGUUCACCCCGACCCCCAGCCCACCAACACACACCUCGCUCACUUCCUGCCUUCCUGGCUUUUUUGUGCUUCUUCGCCAAGCUGCUCAACAAGAUCCUGCUCUACCGUCUGCCGGUGCCUUGUUCUGCGCUGUAGACUUAGCCACUGUUGCCAUGACGACGACGUCUCCAUAGAACGGUGAGAACUGCACCACCAAGUGGGUGACAUUGCCAUCAGCUCCCCCUCAUCGCCAUCAACAAGCCAGUUCUUGUACCCGUGGCUGCCACAGCGUUGUGACCAAGUGCCAAGACAGGACACAACAAGUUCUGCGCACGUACAUAGAGCUGAGCGCCUUAUUCCAUGCACACACUCUUGUGUCUACCUGGCCACAACCUCCGCAUCAACAAGAGCAGCUAUCGUCCGCUCAGUGUCGGCUACCAAAAUGGCAAGAGCAGCAACACGACUUUGUUUGGACACCUUGUUCGUAUUGUCAAACUCAGUUGUUUUAUUUUGGUGUGGGUUUUUUUCCCCGUGGAAAGGGUGGGGGUAAUGACUAUAGUUAUGGAAGACCUAGCCUGUUAUUGUAAGUGAUUACAAACAUAUGUUAUGUGAUAUGAUGGGGAAAGAGACCAGGCGUGUCUCAGUCCUGUCCAGUUCCCUUGCCGCCGCCCUCCACCCCCUCCUCCACUGAGAUGUGCUGAGUGCUCAAGGACCUAGUUCCUAGGCAGCUCCCAGCUUUACUCACAACUCAGCAUGUCCAGUGGACCUACAGGACAUCCCCAUGCUGGGCUUUCACCCAUUUUGUUUCCUGCAAAACGAUUAUGCAACAAGAGUCAGCGAACGUCCAGUGCUUUUCUUUUUGUGGGGGUAGGGUGGGGUGGGAGAACAGUUGUACAUGUUCUUGGCAUAGGAGACCAGGUUGCAUUGUUAGUUGUGCCCAUUCUAUCUAGCAGCUAGGCACCACAGACCAAGCUAGGAGGUUACCGCCAGAGGGCAGAGUGGUUUCGCGAGAAACACGCGCUGUCAUGGCGUCUGUAGGCAAAGCGUGCCGCCAGCUGCACCUGCACUUUGGCCAUUAAUGUCUAAAAUAGAGGCCACUCUCUGCCAUGUCGGUCUCUGCAUGUUGGCACUAUUGUGAGAGUGAUUUGGGCGGGUGGCAGAUGGAAGGCCAUAGACUAAAGGCGAGUGAGCGGACAUGUUCACAGGUGGGGAAGUUGUUUUACCAGAUUGCUCAUGACCAGAUUUCAUAAAUAUGGUUUCAAAGUUUCUAGUUUUUUAGCCAGAACAUUGGAUUUGUGCCCAUUUAAUUGUAUUUGGUGUAUUCAAAAUAAUGUCAAUGUGUGAAACUGGGUUGGCCUUGUUAACCCAUUUGCAUCAAUCUUUUCUUGGAAAACUUGUUGUUUGGGCUUUUGGCUACCCACGCCUGGCACCACGUUGCAGUUCACUACAGGCACCGACAGCUGGCGUUUGUUGAGCAUAACUUUAGAUGUAGUGCGUGUUAGACACAGAAAAACCAAACCUUUUGUUUUUGUCGAGGACCAUUGGAGAAAGAGACUGCCCGGUCACCAUUGUGAUCAGUGUCUGAAGAACUCCCUGCACCCUGUCCACGGCUGUCAGCGGUUCGGUGACGAUCACAAGACAGCUGUCGCACGCGCGUGCUGCUUUGCUGAUGUGCCGUGCCUGUCUUCUACAACACUCGGUUGCACGAGCUUGUCACCGUGGCCAUGGUCAGCCUAUCCCCGUGCAGCAACCAUCAGCUGGCGUGCGGCUUGGGGGUGGGAGUGGAGGGAGUCUAGCAUGUAACAACACUUGCUUUGGGACAAGAUUGCGCGAGUUGCCAUCUGUCGUUGUUUGGCCACAUUUAUUGUUUUUCGCGUGAUUUCGCGGAUGAGAUGUAAAUGUUAUGAUUUGUGUUCUUGCGUCAAAGAGUAAGCAGAGAUUAUUAAUAUUGACCACUUCUUAGUAUGUACUAUGCUCUACUUGUUGGCAUGAGUUUGUCCAAGAAGCCAUGGACGAACAAGAAACCUUUAACUAUUUUUGUUGUGUUGCCAGUAGAUGACACUCACUCAUUGUGUACUCAGUUCUCUUGCGUAAUUUAUUUCUUGUCACCAAGUGCUCUUGCAUUUGACAGAUCAAAGCAGUUGUUGGCAGCACCUUUUGUUCUUGUGUGAGGACUGUUUUGACCAUGGAUGCUCGUGCUUUGGCACUUGAAAACAAUUUUACAGUUUCCUCAAGACAAAGAAAUAACGUAUUCAUUUAAACUUUUCUGUUUUUCAAGCGAUGCGUAAUCUUAUGUUCAAAGCUCAAAUGUUUUUAAAACAUCAUGUGUUAUUUUUAUAACAUUUUAUGAUUUGGAACAAAUCCUGUUUAAAGAGGAAGUAUUACAAAAUAAUCUAAAACAACACGUUGUGGACACUAGCUUGAGCUAGUAAAUGCAUAGCACAGUGAGUUGAAGCUGUGAUGUAGCAAGCUACUGACAAGCUGUGAUGUAGCAAGCUACUGACAAGCUGUGAUGUAGUACCAAGCUACUGACAAGCUGUGAUGUAGCAAGCUACUGACAAGCUGUGAUGUAGUACAAGCUACUGACAAGCUGUGAUGUAGCAAGCUACUGACAAGCUGUGAUGUAGCAAGCUACUGACAAGCUGUGAUGUAGCACGUUCUCAUCCCUACAAGAUGACAAGGACACAUUCCAAGGCGCCCGCCCCCGCAACGCUUGAGCGGCUCGGUGGAGCGGUCCGGUGGCGCCACGGUUAGCACCUGUCACCAAUACAGUGAAGGUUGGCUGUCCAGGGUUCAAAUCUGGUCUCGGGCACGCUGUUCUUUCUCUGCACGUGGCAUCUGUUUUCAGGGCUGGCUGCCUUGCCGUGAUGUAGCCUUCGUUGCUGACACGGCGUAAAACACAAAUCAGCUCCCCACCCCCUUGCGUCACGUGCCCCUCAGUAUGGCUGACAGCUUGUUGUCCACAAAUAUUGCUUUGUUGUCGUCCACCUCCAGCAAACCUCCAUCGAGACCUCGCUUGUUACCCACCUCGUCCUACGUGGACUUAGUUUUGUAAGGCACAAAGUCAUUUUAAUUUGUUUACUUUUCUUGGAAUCAUCAGGAACGUUCGUUUAUGAUUAGUUAACGACUUUUGGCCUGCGUGUACGGACGUGUCAAUCAUGUUUCUGGUGCCAAAAGGAUGUCGGGCUUCUCGCUCUGGUUACUUUGGUGCCACGCCAGUGCUAGGAGUCCAAGCUCCCGCGCUUCGCUUAUAUUUUUUCUUAAAUAAUUUCUUUUUUUCCUAAUAUUAGGAUUAAUAGGGGAUCCAAAACUGAUCCGUUUAAUUGCGAAAAGCACAUGAUGUCAUGUUGUACGCACGACUGUCGCAUGCUAGCACACAGAACGACCUACAGAAACAACUUUUGGUACAGUUGCAUUUAAAAAUCACAUUCAUGCAAAGCAUUUUGUAAUUUGUGCAUACUGCAAAGUCUCAGAACUGCUGGGAAUUGUAAGAUAAGUCAAAGCAUUAUCUGACCUUGUGUAAUAUCCAGUAUUCCGCUAGCACUUGCGUCACGUGUGGUUGGACACUCGCUGCUGGCGACAAAUCCUUCUUCAGCCCUUCAUUUGUAGAGCGACAAUCACGGACAGCGUGACUGCAGUCACACCACCGUGUCGCGUGACCUACUCUCGACACCAGACGUUCACUCCAUCAGUCACCGUGCACCCCGCCAUUGGUAGCUAGGCGACUGAAACAGCCAGUAGUCGCCACUAUACUAUACUAUACUAUACUUUACUUACUAUAUCCACGUCACUUUCAGUGAGGUCACCACAGAAACAGCCAGUAGUCAGAGCUGUUUGAUGUCACGUGACAACGUCCUGUGUUUUGUGAGUCACACCCUGUUUCAAGGGGUGCUCGUCAUGUUUGAUAACUUGAGGUUUUGCUCUCCUGCCAUUUACAAAUGGUUCUGUCUCGAGUUGGUCAGUGUCCUUAAACGGACCGACAGGAAAUGGUUUUAUUGAUCUCAUUUUGACAUGUACAGGGUUAAUUAUGAAUUACUUGGUUGAUCGUUCGGUUGAUUGGUUGGCUGACUGGCUAGUUUUGCUCCAAGCUACAGAAGAUAUUUGUUUGCCAAAAAAAGUAUUGUUUGAUCGCUGGCCUUGGCUGCAGUCUGUUUUUGAAUUGCGCUAUAUUUGAAAGAAAAGAAAAAAAGAAAAGAAAUUAUGAUAAUAUUGAAA